CCUACGGGUGGCAGCAGUGGGGAAUAUUGCACAAUGGGGGGAACCCUGAUCCAGCGACGCCGCGUGAGUGAAGAAGUAUUUCGGUAUUUAAAGCUCUAUCAGCAGGGAAGAAAAUGACGGUACCUGACUAAGAAGCCCCGGCUAACUACGUGCCAGCAGCCGCGGUAAUACGUAGGGGGCCAGCGUUAUCCGGAUUUACUGGGUGUAAAGGGAGCGCAGACGGUUGUGCAAGUCUGGAGUGAAAGGUGGGGGCCCAACCCCAGGACUGCUCUGGAAACUGUAAAGCUGGAGUGCAGGAGAGGUAAGCGGAAUGCGUAGUGUAGCGGUGAAAUGCGUAGAUAUUAGGAGGAACACCAGUGGCGAAGGCGGCUUACUGGACUGCAACUGACGUUGAGGCUCGAAAGCGUGGGGAGCAAACAGGAUUAGAUACCCUUGUAGUC
rnacentral:rRNA from 1 species